rnacentral:pre_miRNA from 1 species
CUACUACUCCCUCCGUUCGAAAAUACUUGUCAUUGAAAUGGAUGUAUCUAGAUGUAUUUUAGUUCUAGACACAUCCAUUUUGAUGGCAAGUAAUUCCGGACGGAGGGAGUAUUAU